ensembl:lncRNA
GGGAUUGGUUGCCAUGGCAGUGACGUCAAAGAGUGCCGGGGACAGGGAGCGGAGACACGGAAAAGUGCUGGAGUGGGGUUCUGUGCUUUACAUGCCCCAGGGCAUGGCUCAAUCUAGCAAACCCUGGAGUGAAGCUGCUUUCAGCGUGUGGAGACUGAGUGCCACCGACAGCCUGUUGUCUGUUCGUGCUCAGAGAGUUAUGUGGAAGGAUAGGAGUGACUCAGUAAUAGGAAGUAUUAGUUGCACUGAGGCAAAACCAGGAGUUAGGUGGCAAAACUUGCUCUCCUUUGGAGUCCAUUUGAAAUAUAGUGACUGAUGAAGGCCAAGGAGCAAUUCUGCAAUUGUUUAUUCACUGUAUGUGUCCAUGACCUGGAAGAAGCGUGCAGGAAUGGGCUAAAGCAGAGAUGCUUCUGAGAUGGCACAAAGUGUGUGUUGGAGGCAGACAGGAGGAGUGGGCAGAUGGCAGUCAGAACAAAACAGGGAGUUCAAUAACUUGGGACAGCACUGAGCUGCUCUAUCUGGAGAACACCCUUCUAACCAUAAAGGGGAGCUGCUCUGUCUAAGAUUGAGUGUAAGACAUAAAUGAUCCUCCAAAGAAGCUUUUCUCAAAAAAAAAAAGAGCUUAUUUUCUGAAGACAACUUUGUCACUUGAACUAGAGAUGCUUCUUACCUUGACUGAAAAGGCAGACUAUGGGCACAAACUGGAAGACUCCUCAAGGUAAAACAGGAACAUGUCAUGUGGAGAUACCUGUAUUCAUCUUUCUCUUGUGGUCAGUGCAUGUUGCUGUAUCUCCUCUGCUGAAAAAGCAAAAAUUGCAGGGAAAAAAAAAUUCCAAAAAUAUAUGGCUAUACAUUAUACAGCAACAAUCUGUUAGAAGCCUAUUCUCAGAGAAGGCAAAAAUAUAGCUAAGGAUGCUAAUACUCUUCCUUCCUUUUUCUGUUCUGAUUGCAGGUAAGUCUACUGGUGGGGGUUUUUAUGAGGUGAGGGUAAUACAUUAUGACAAAUUGUUAGUGACAGAUGGAUUUUUUUUACUUAGCUUACUUCUAAAGCAAAAUGAUCUGGAUUAGCCACUUCCUGCCCCCCGAGGUGGCUGCACAACUUCUCAGGUUACCUAAAUUAAAGACUUAAUUUGACUCAGUAAGUUACUCUAUCAGGUUGAGAGCCAAGAAGGUGUUUUAUAAAUACAUGAUUUCUGCAUGCUGAGCAGUGUUGUUCAGUCAGAGGGAAGAGGAGAAUGGGGGGGGGGAGUCUUUAAUUGCUGCCUUCAGUUACCUAAUGGAUCAUGACAAGAAACCAGCUCUUUCUUGGUGUUGUGCAGCAAAAGGGUGAGAAGCACUGGGCACAAGAUGCAGCAAAGGAAAUUCCAGAUAGGUGUAAGGCAGAAGAAAAAAGUUAGACCUGUAGCUACACAGACGUGACUAGAUUGCUUGUAGAAGCUAUGAAAUAUCUUUGCUUGGGGAUGCUCAGAUUUUGAGCAGGGAGUUUGCUGUAGGUGAUUUCCAGAGAGCCUUCCAGAGGUCAUUUCCACUGUAAGAUGUUUUUGGUUUCCAUUUGGUGAUUAGUUCACGACUUUUCUUCACCGAGAAGGCUUAUCGUUCUGAGCUGUCUUUCUGAUCUUCGAUGGUAAUCACUUUUCAUGUCUCAUUUGUUAAAAUUAUGCUCACUAGAGUCAGAAAUGGUGUCUGUGGAGACAGUGCUUUUGUAAAGCAUGUAUUAACUGAAAGGUUCUGACUGCAUGUCUGUUUUACUGUAUUUGUCCAAGUAAAGACUUCCAAAAGUGAAACCAGCUUUGAAGGUUCUCUUACAGUGCUGUUUUUGGUGCUGUUUUUUCAACUUCAGUUAAUUUUAUGUAUUUACAGUUCACAGGACUAAUACUCAGCAGAAUAUUUUGGAGCAGAGUGAGCUAAGAAGUUGAAGACAGGUUGUAUUCUCUUUAAGAGAAAAAUUCUAGGGUGUGAACUUUGAUGCAGAUGUGCAACUUAAUGGUGUAUUCAAUUUCUGCCUACUGUUCCUUUGUUUUAAACUGCUUAUUUAAAAGCAUAAGAACACCCCUUCCUCUUUCUGUGUUUGACCCCCAGCAUUCUGCAUGCUCAGUAUACUCCAGCUAAUACUGAGAUUAUUUGGAUUGCAGGUGAAUGUCUGCUUUUUCAUGGGCUUUGGAGAAGGACAGUGAGCAGCCUUUGUAGUUGCUACUCCUGUAUAUUUUUGGGAAAUAAUGCAAGAAAUGAAUAGGGGCCAGUUUUGUCUUGCAUGCUGUGUCUGUUCUUGAGUUUGUUAGAUUGUAGUCAUUCUCUCUGAUGCAGUUCUAGAUUGAUGGUCAAUUAUUUUUACCUCGUAAACCUCCAUUCUUUGAAACGAGUGAAUCAUGGGCCAGAGUGUGUAGGACAGCUUUUUUCUUAUGCUUAGUCACAGGAGACUAAGCUUACAGUUUUAUUCUAACUUAGCUCCCCAAGAUAUGCAGAGCAACUGGGUGGAUGCUGUUCUUAAUUAUGAUCUGAACUUUAUUUUGGCUCGCACCAUCACUGUUUCAUUGUUUAUCUUCCUUUGGUAAGAUGAGAACAGUAUCUUAUGACAAAAACAUUUAGUUGUUUGGUUUUCUGUAAUGGUUAUGUAUGACAUUUGCAUCCUCACUGAAAUUUGGGCUUAGAUAUGUUAAUAGUGUACUGUUUUACACAUUCCCAUGCAUUCUUAAAAUAUGAGAUGCUUUUUUUGACAGCUCAAUUUAAAACUUUUUACUUCCUACACAGUGAAACUGUCAGUUUUAGUGUUUGCACAUAUGUAUAUAUUUAGUGUAUCCUUCUAGUAUUUGAAGAGAGCUUCUAAGCAGGAAGGGGAGUGACUUUUUACAUGGUCUGAUAGUGAUAGCUCAAGGGAGAAUGGCUUUAAACUAAAGGAGCGGAGAUUUAGGUUAGAUGUUGUGGAAAAAAAAUCCUUUCUCAGAGGAUGGUGAGGCACAGGAGCAGGAUGCCCACAGACAUUGUGGCUGCCCCAUCCUGGUGGUGUUCAAGGCUGAGUUGGAUGGGGCCCUGGGCAGCUUGAUCCAGUGAGUGGCAACCGUACGCGUGGCACAGAGUUGGAGCUUGGUUAUCUUUAAGGUUCCUUCCAAUGUAAGCCAUUCUGUGAUUAGUGAUUGUAAGAAGCAGAGCGUGUGGUUUCCUGAAAAUAUACAGGAAAUGCAGUUCUAAAACUACUUACAUAUGCUUCCUACUUCAUAAUUCAUUGUGCACUGUAAACUUCUAAUGCUAUAGCGAACUCUGUGGCUGUUAAAUGAUCAGACUGCCCUAUGUUAGGGCAGAUUGUAAUCUAUCUGAAUCACUGCGUGACAUUUAUGCUGUUGAAAUUGAAUUGGACUAUGUGAGAGCUGAAAGCUAUGGCACUUUAAAUUCAGCACUGAUUCAGACACUGUGUUUUACUCGGGGCAAAUAACUUAAUGUCUAAUACUCAGUUAUGUUCUGGUCAGUAGACGUGACUUAAAAUAAUUGGAGCAAUAGCAGGGAUCUGCUUUAACUUUCUUUUUCAGUUAGCUAUUUGUGCAUGAGAACUGAGACUUCUAAUUCACUGAGUAAUUGUAAUCAUGCUGAUCAUGGAAUGAGGAUAUCUUAAGAUAUGGGAAGAAAAUAAGCUCUGUGGGAAAUACAUAAGCUCUCUUUAGCUUCCUUGUUCCCCUGCAUCUUCCUUUCCCUUAUUGCUUUCCUUCUUCCCAUCUUGUUUAACUUUCUGAUCACAGUGCAGUCCAAGCUCAGUGUGACUGAUAAAAUAAUAUGUGGCACUUGGGAAAACUGCAGUACCUCUCUGUGACCUGUGUGGCUUGGGUUUGGAAACUGAAAGAGCACAAACUUCAGGUAUCACAGCAGUGCCCUUUUUGUUGGUGUUAAACCUCUUGGUGAAUCCCUUGUACUGACAGCUUAAGAGCCAGAUUGGUAAAUGUUGUGUGUCAGGAACAGUUUAUGUAGUUUAAAGAUUCACAUGGUUCUUCACAUUUUCUGUAUGAGGAAUUUGAAGGGGAAUUCACACUGCAAGAAAUGCUACAUUCAUUGUUGUUCUUCAGCAAAUACAGUUAACAGCAUUAAUGGAAGCCAGCAAUCAAUGUCCUUCUGUUUGCAGUGACGUUAGAAUAAGUCCUGGUUCUGUGCUUUUAAGCUUUAGCAGGGUUAGAGGACAGAACCUUUGACAAAAGCCGGAGUGUGGUGUCUUUUUGUAUUUGUUUGUAAGUGUUCAGGAGAAUAGCAGAAGAUGCUUAAUCUUCAGUUUUCAUAGAAGAACUUUUAUGGAAGUUCUAUCCUUCAAAAGCGUAGUUGCACGGAACUACACUGCAGAUAUAUUUUCUUAAUGUUUUUGGAUGGAGCUGAAAAUGUAACUCCUUUGUACAAACAUGAUCACACUGUUAGAUGUUGUGCUGGGGUUGGUAGCUGACAGUUUGAUAAAACAGCAAGAGACUUCACUGUCAUUUGUAUUGUUUUUUUUGUGAUGAUCUGAGUGUUAAAAUGAAGCUGGAGGGAGUGUCCUCUCUUUAGGCAGGUGACAUUGUGGUAACCUUCAUUACUUCCUUAAGAAGCAAGUGUUGAAGGAGAGCAGCACAAGAAAUGGUUCACUGCAGCAUAAUGCUUAGCAGCCUAAUUAGUCGAAUACCAUGUGCCUACCUCUGCAUGAAAUAACCCAUUUCUUCACAAGGUAAAAUAGGAAUUUUCAGUUUUGGAACAGCCUGAAGAGGCCUUUGUUGCAAAUGUCCGUUGGCUUUUUAACUAUUUAUUCUCAAAUAAUGAAGGUCAGCAUGGUAUCCAUAGAGACUGCAUGCAGCUUCCUCGUUAAUCUUGGCAAACUCCUGUAAUAACUACAUUCACUUAAUACUAACAAGUGUUCACAUUUCAUUAAUGGGAGAACAGUAUGGGAUUGACAUUCUGUAACUGAGAAAUCUUGAAUGUGUAGUUUUUCUUCUUUAAACUCUGUUAGAAUUUCCCUUUACGAGUUGCCUUGGAGGCCUGAACAGCCUCAGAACAAGCAACUUUUAAAUUGCAGGAGUCUGCGUAUUUCCUGGAAGCAGAAAACUUCUUACUGGCUAAGCCUUUUCUUUCUGAAAGGAUCAAGAAUGAUAAACAAGGAUAAAUGGGUCUGCUUUCAGCUCUGUUAGUAAAAGGAAAGUUUUCUGCUAUGAACUAGAAUAUAAAGGCAUUGAAGUAUUAUGUAAAUAUGAUCAAGCUAGAAUGAUAAGAUUUAAAAAAAUAACCUCAUGCAGACUCUCCACCUCUGCUUUUUUUCUUCCUUUUUCUUUAACCAAGAAUGGGAGAAUUUUUGUAUCACCAGAACACUGCUGAAGUCCUUUGUAUUUGACUGUCAGAUUACUUCUGUGCAGAAAAUUCUAAUCAGAGUGUUAAUAUGAAAUAACUGAGUGCUGUAUGCUUAAUAAUGACUUUGAUUUAAAUUAAAUUUUGUUCUUGAAUAGUAUUUUGUCAUUUAAAUACUUUUAAUAUUGAAAGGGUUCUUUUAACUGAGAAGAAAGAAAUAGACUGCAUCAGAACAGAAUGCAGUCUUGUGGGACUUCUGGUACUGAGUUGCUGAAGGGGGGGAAGUAAAAUGGUUCCAUCCAGAGGCUGUUAUUGUUUUAUUCCCACCCUGACACUUUUAAUGCUUACCCCAGGAUAUAUAUAUAUAGAGAGAGAGAGUAACAGAGCCUUAAACUGAUGCUGAGAAAUAUACAUAUUUUUUCAGAAUUCUGCCAGGUUUAUUUCUAAGAUUUCCUUCAUUAUGAGCUUGUUUUCCUAAAUUAUACAUUCUUAUUUAGAAACAUAAGUAACUGUGAAAGAGUAGAUAGUGUGGAUGCUUAGAAUGGAACUCCAUUUAUUUUUUUUGAGAGUUCUGGUAAUGAAGGUAUAGGAAAGUAAAAUGUAUGUAUGAAUGUAUUUGAACCUGAAGAGGUUUAAAAAUGUGCAUUUUAAAACUUGAGUACGUAUAUUCCCAUGUCUUGCAUUUAGAAACAUUAAAUUAUGUUAAAUCUACAAUUGUGGUGUUUUUGUAUCAAUGCUUGUUUUAAGUGAAACUGAAAAUGAGAUUUUCUUCAGAAUUAGUGGAAUGGUAAUUGAUUGGAAUGUCACAGAAAUGUCAUAAAUCUUUUUCUUUUCCCCCUCCCCUAAAGGUGACCGACUACUUUGUACUGCUGGAC